rnacentral:rRNA from 1 species
UCAGGAAAGUNUGGAGUAAAAGGCUAUGGCUCAACCAUAGUGUGCUCUGGAAACUNUCUGACUUGAGUGCAGAAGGGGAGAGUGGAAUUCCAUGUGUAGCGGUGAAAUGCGUAGAUAUAUGGAGGAACACCNGUGGCGAAAGCGGCUCUCUGNUCUGUCACUGACGCUGAGGCUCGAAAGCGUGGGUAGCGAACAGGAUUAGAUACCCUGGUAGUNCACGCCGUAAACGAUGAGUGCUAGGUGUUAGGCCCUUUCCGGGGCUUAGUGCCGGAGCUAACGCAAUAAGCACUCCGCCUGGGGAGUACGACCGCAAGGUUGAAACUCAAAGGAAUUGACGGGGGCCCGCACAAGCGGUGGAGCAUGUGGUUUAAUUCGAAGCAACGCGAAGAACCUUACCAGGUCUUGACAUCCCGAUGCUAUUCUUAGAGAUAGGAAGUUACUUCGGUACAUCGGAGACAGGUGGUGCAUGGUUGUCGUCAGCUCGUGUCGUGAGAUGUUGGGUUAAGUCCCGCAACGAGCGCAACCCUUAUUGUUAGUUGCCAUCAUUAAGUUGGGCACUCUAGCGAGACUGCCGGUAAUAAACCGGAGGAAGGUGGGGAUGACGUCAAAUCAUCAUGCCCCUUAUGACCUGGGCUACACACGUGCUACAAUGGUCGGUACAACGAGUUGCGAGCCGGUGACGGCAAGCUAAUCUCUGAAAGCCGAUCUCAGUUCGGAUUGGAGGCUGCAACUCGCCUCCAUGAAGUCGGAAUCGCUAGUAAUCGCGGAUCAGCACGCCGCGGUGAAUACGUUCCCGGGCCUUGUACACACCGCCCGUCACGCCACGAGAGUUUGUAACACCCGAAGUCGGUGAGGUANCCUUUUAGGG